GUGUCAGCAGCCGCGGUAAUACGAAGGGGGCUAGCGUUGUUCGGAAUUACUGGGCGUAAAGCGCGCGCAGGUGGUCUUUCAAGUCAGUGGUGAAAGCCCGGAGCUCAACUCCGGAAAUGCCAUUGAAACUGUGAGACUUGAGGACGAGAGAGGUGAGUGGAAUUCCCAGUGUAGAGGUGAAAUUCGUAGAUAUUGGGAAGAACACCGGUGGCGAAGGCGGCUCACUGGCUCGUAUCUGACGCUCAGGCGCGACAGCGUGGGGAUCAAACAGGAUUAGAUACCCGCGUAGUCC
rnacentral:rRNA from 1 species